rnacentral:rRNA from 1 species
UGGGGAAUAUUGGACAAUGGGCGCAAGCCUGAUCCAGCCAUGCCGCGUGAGUGUUGAAGGCCCUAGGGUUGUAAAGCUCUUUCACCGGUGAAGAUAAUGACGGUAACCGGAGAAGAAGCCCCGGCUAACUUCGUGCCAGCAGCCGCGGUAAUACGAAGGGGGCUAGCGUUGUUCGGAUUUACUGGGCGUAAAGCGCACGUAGGCGGACUUUUAAGUCAGGGGUGAAAUCCCGGGGCUCAACCCCGGAACUGCCUUUGAUACUGGAAGUCUUGAGUAUGGUAGAGGUGAGUGGAAUUCCGAGUGUAGAGGUGAAAUUCGUAGAUAUUCGGAGGAACACCAGUGGCGAAGGCGGCUCACUGGACAAUUACUGACGCUGAGGUGCGAAAGCGUGGGGAGCAAACAGG